CGACCUUGCCUCGUGGUGGGGGGAUAGCCGGCCCAACGGCCGGGUAAUACCGCAUAUGGUAGUUUCUUCGCAUGGGGAGACUAGCAAAGCCCUGGAGCAAUCCAGUGGCGCCACAGGGGGGGCUCGCGGCCUAUCAGCUAGUUGGGGGGGUAAUGGCCCACCAAGGCGACGACGGGUAGCUGGUCUGAGAGGAUGGCCAGCCACAUUGGGACUGAGAGACGGCCCAG
rnacentral:rRNA from 1 species